AUCCUAUGCAUUCAAUUUGGAUAAAGAUGAUUGUGAAAAGCAAUAAGAAGCUGAAAUAUUUGUGUAGAUUUUCUUAAAUUCUGAUUUUACUUUUGCAGUCAUAUUUCCUUUUGAUAUUCAGAGACUUGCCCUUAAUGCAAAUUAGGAAAGAGAAGUUUAUCCUAUAAAGAGAAAUACAAUCCUAUAUGCUUCAUGGACUCGCUUCAAUUUUGUCUACGACUUGAGAACAACAGCAUUACUUUGAUAUGCAGUUUUGGCACAUGCAAUUCACUGGAGAUGGUACUGAAGAUUCUGAGCUUGAAAUGCUAAAUUCCCCCUCUUUAGGAGAGGUGGGACGCAGAUCACUUCCUUUAGGCAUUUUUCCUGCUCUCAACUUUUGCUGAGAGGUGAUUCUGACAGCAUGCCUCUUGGAAGGUGAUAUGCAACUCUGGGUGUGUUUUACAUGAUUCUCCCUCGCAACUCUUGGUCUAGGUGCAGCGCAAAAUGCAACAUAUUUAUGAAGGCAGCAAUCGAGUUGCAGAUGCCUUCGAAAAUGUGGGAGUGAAAGCGCCUUCUCGGCUGCUUCUUUGGAAAAAGAAGGAUGGACAAAUAUUUCAAGGAGCCUUGUAUGGGUGGAAUAAAAGAAGUUAAGUGGAGGCUCUGCGGCUCCACCUUC